rnacentral:rRNA from 1 species
UAAGCGGAGGAAAAGAAACUAACANGGAUUCCCCUAGUAACUGCGAGUGAAGCGGGAAAAGCUCAAAUUUAAAAUCUGGUGGUCUUUGGCCAUCCGAGUUGUAAUUUAGAGAAGCGUCUUCCGCGCUGGACCGUGCACAAGUCUCCUGGAAUGGAGCGUCAUAGAGGGUGAGAAUCCCGUCUUUGGCACGGACACACCGGGGCUUUUGUGAUGCGCUCUCGAAGAGUCGAGUUGUUUGGGAAUGCAGCUCAAAAUGGGUGGUGAACUCCAUCUAAAGCUAAAUAUUGGCGAGAGACCGAUAGCGAACAAGUACCGUGAGGGAAAGAUGAAAAGCACUUUGGAAAGAGAGUGAAACAGUACGUGAAAUUGUUGAAAGGGAAACGCUUGAAGUCAGUCACGUCGACCGAGACUCAACCUUGCCUUGGCUUGGUGUACUUCUCGGCUGACGGGUCAGCAUCAAUUUUGCCCCUUGGAUAAUGGCGAGGGAAAUGUGACACCUUUACGGUGUGUUAUAGUCUCUCGUCGCAUGCAAGGGUUGGGAUUGAGGAACUCAGCACGCGCCUUUGGGCGUCGGGGCUUUGCCCACGAUACGUGCUUAGGAUGUUGGCAUAAUGGCUUUAAACGACC